rnacentral:pre_miRNA from 1 species
UUCACAAGGAGGUGUCAUUUAUGUGAACUAAAAUAUAAAUGUCACCUUUUUGAGAGGA